AACGCAUCUUGCACUCCUUAGUAUUCUGAGGAGUAUGCCUGUUUGAGUGUCAUGAAAUUCUCAAUCCUUCGAGUUUAUUUUAAAUAUAAAUGAAGAAGGCUUGGAUUUGGAGGUCGUGCCGGCUUUUGAUUUAAAGUCUGGCUCCUCUUAAAUGUAUUAGCGCAUAACUUACCGAUCGCUCUUUGGUGUGAUAAUUAUCUACGCCAUUGUGUGUGAAGUAUUUCAAUAGUUUGUGCUUCUAACCGUCCAAUGUAGGACAAGAAUACUUGACAUCUGGCCUCAAAUCAGGUAGGACUACCCGCUGAACUUAA
rnacentral:misc_RNA from 1 species